rnacentral:rRNA from 1 species
UACGUAGGGGGCAAGCGUCAUCCGGAUUUACUGGGUGUAAAGGGAGCGUAGACGGCGAUGCAAGCCAGAUGUGAAAGCCCGGGGCUCAACCCCGGGACUGCAUUUGGAACUGUAUAGCUAGAGUGUCGGAGAGGCAGGCGGAAUUCCUAGUGUAGCGGUGAAAUGCGUAGAUAUUAGGAGGAACACCAGUGGCGAAGGCGGCCUGCUGGACGAUGACUGACGUUGAGGCUCGAAAGCGUGGGGAGCAAACAGG